rnacentral:rRNA from 1 species
CAGCAGCCACGGUAAUACGAAGGGUGCAAGCGUUACUCGGAAUUACUGGGCGUAAAGCGUGCGUAGGUGGUGGUUUAAGUCCGUUGUGAAAGCCCUGGGCUCAACCUGGGAAUUGCAGUGGAUACUGGGUCACUAGAGUGUGGUAGAGGAUAGUGGAAUUUCCGGUGUAGCAGUGAAAUGCGUAGAGAUCGGAAGGAACAUCUGUGGCGAAGGCGACUAUCUGGGCCAACACUGACACUGAGGCACGAAAGCGUGGGGAGCAAACAGGAUUAGAUACCCGGGUAGUCCCUGUCUCUUAUAC